GUGUCAGCAGCCGCGGUAAGACGAACCGUCCAAACGUUAUUCGGAAUCACUGGGCUUACAGAGUUCGUAGGCGGUCUGGAAAGUUGGGUGUGAAAUCCCUCGGCUCAACCGAGGAACUGCGCUUGAAACUACCAGACUCGAGGGAGAUAGAGGAAAGCGGAACUGAUGGUGGAGCGGUGAAAUGCGUUGAUAUCAUCAGGAACACCGGUGGCGAAGGCGGCUUUCUGGGUCUUACCUGACGCUGAGGAACGAAAGCCAGGGGAGCGAACGGGAUUAGAAACCCCGGUAGUCC
rnacentral:rRNA from 1 species